GUUUCCAGGCGGGGAACACACAGAGGCCUGGGAGGUUGGUUGGCCUGCAAGGACCAGGAAAAGCUCCACAUACUCCCUCUUCCUGUGCCCUGCCCAGCAGUCUAACAUUUCCGGAAUUGCAUCCUUUACAAAUUUUAUAUAGAUAUCAAGGUUCAACUUCAUUUUCUCAUAAUCUCUUGAUCACCGGGCUGAUGAGAUGGCUCAGUGGAUAAGGUCCCUUGCCAAUGAGACCGAGAAGCCUAAAUUCAACCCCUGGAAUUCACGUGGUGGAAAGAAAGAAAUGACUUCCAAAAGUUGUCCUCUGACCUCCAAAUUACAAUGCUGCUAAUUCAAUGUGCAGUUUGCAAGCAGAACGAGAGGAGGCUGGAACCGUUCUGGGAAGGAUCCAGAAUAGGAACGCAAAGCCAUGACCUUCCUACCUCUUGAACACUGACUACUUUUUCUUGGCUAUGCUUAACUGCUGUAGAUCUCUGGCAGAUUUGCAAAGGUCACAUAAAGAAGUUAUUUUGGCUA